UGGGGAAUUUUGCGCAAUGGGCGAAAGCCUGACGCAGCAACGCCGCGUGAUUGAAGAAGCUCUGCGGAGUGUAAAGAUCUGUCAUAGGGGAAGAAAAAUUUCGUUAUUAACACCAUCGGAACGUGACGGUACCCUAUAAGAAAGCCCCGGCUAACUUCGUGCCAGCAGCCGCGGUAAUACGAGGGGGGCAAGCGUUGUCCGGAUUCAUUGGGCGUAAAGAGUUCGUAGGCGGGUCAGUCAGUCGAAAUUGAAAUCCCACGGCUUAACCGUGGUUCCGGUUUCGAUACUGCUGAUCUUGAGUGAGGUAGAGGUAAGCGGAAUUCCUGGUGUAGCGGUGAAAUGCGUAGAUAUCAGGAGGAACACCGAAGGCGAAGGCAGCUUACUGGGCCUAUACUGACGCUGAGGAACGAAAGCGUGGGGAGCAAACAGG
rnacentral:rRNA from 1 species